rnacentral:lncRNA from 1 species
GGACCAGAAAGAGAUAAAUGAAAAGAAAUUAAGUUAUCAUAAAUUCAAUUACCCCAAUUUUUUAGUGGAUACACUGAAAAUUCACCCUUGCAAAUGCGAAAGGAUACACCCACGUCAUUUUUUUUUUUUGAAAAAAAAAGAACGAACUGUUAUAGUUUAAUGUUUUGUGACCACAGGGUGAAUUUGAACAAUUUUUUGGGGCCUCACGGGUGAAGAAUCACAAUCAGUUUCACCCGAUGGAGAUUGAAUCCAUACGACUUGUCGUUGAACGGUAGAUAUUGAGUCAGUCUCCGCAGGUGGUUCACGUUUUGAUGGCGGUGGACUGUUCUUUGGACUGUUCCUUGCCACGGCGACCCCCCAACAAAGAGCCAUGACAAUCAUCGAGAUAAUAAUGAUAUUUUUUGUGACGGCCAUGGUUCAAAUAUGACGUGGGUAAUGAUAAUUA